CCUACGGGAGGCAGCAGUGAGGAAUAUUGGUCAAUGGACGAGAGUCUGAACCAGCCAAGUAGCGUGAAGGAUGACUGACCUAUGGGUUGUAAACUUCUUUUAUAAAGGAAUAAAACGAGGCACGUGUGCCUUUUUGCAUGUACUUUAUGAAUAAGGAUCGGCUAACUCCGUGCCAGCAGCCGCGGUAAUCCGGAGGAUCCGAGCGUGAUCCGGAUUUAUUGGGUGUAAAGGGAGCGUAGAUGGGUUGUUAAGUCAGUUGUGAAAGUUUGCGGCUCAACCGUAAAAUUGCAAUUGAUACUGGCAGGCUGGAGUACAGGUGAGGUAGGCGGAAUUCGUGGUGUAGCGGUGAAAUGCGUAGAUAUCACGAAGAACCCCGAUGGCGAAGGUAGCUUACUAAACUGUAACUGACAUUGAUGCUCGAAAGUGUGGGUAGCAAACAGGAUUAGAUACCCGGGUAGUC
rnacentral:rRNA from 1 species